rnacentral:rRNA from 1 species
UACGAAGGAUGCGAGCGUUAUCCGGAUUUAUUGGGUUUAAAGGGAGCGUAGGCGGUCUUAUAAGUCAGUGGUGAAAUCUCGUUGCUUAACAACGAACGUGCCAUUGAUACUGUAGGACUUGAGUACAGUUGCCGUUGGCGGAAUGUGUCAUGUAGCGGUGAAAUGCAUAGAUAUGACACAGAACACCGAUUGCGAAGGCAGCUGACGAAACUGUAACUGACGCUGAGGCUCGAAAGCGUGGGGAUCAAAACAGG